rnacentral:lncRNA from 1 species
UUAUUAUGGUGAUAGACUAAAUUGAUGGAUUGCAAGCAUUAACUCUUUCAUUUGUUCUUGCAUUUGAGCCAUUGCACUCUUCAUUUUAGCAAGCUUUGCUAUGCUAGUAUAAUAAAAAGAAAGAUGUUUAUUUUCAUAGAAUACAAUACUCAAGAAUCAAGAAAAAAAAAUUUAGAAACAAUAUCAGUUUAAAAGAGGGCAAUCUGUAACUUCUAAUACACUUGUAUCUUAUCAAGAAAACAUGGUAAUCUACUCUUAAUCAUUAAAGGACAAAGCUUUGAUAUUGUAUGUGUACUCUUGUCAAUUUGUCAAGGACACAAACUAGAAGAAGAUACAUAAAUUUGUGGAAUCUGUGUAAAAAAAAAGUGACAAAAUAGAAGAAAGUAUGUAUAUUCAAGGAAGAACUGGAAUGGCUAUUGCCAAAGACUAGAAAAUAUAAGACUCUUGAAACUAGACUAAAAGCAAGAAAGGAAUUGAUAAGAGUGAGAAAGACCUCAUUCUUGCCUCUAUAUAUACUACUUAACUAAAAACUAUGUGGUGACAUUCUAUAAGACUUCUAAUAUGCGUCCAACUUGCAUGACACAUGUCUAAUUUGCAAGGCAAGUUUUCUAGGUAUGCGCCAUAUGUUCAACUUGUACUAUAAGUGGUCAACAUGUCGACAUGUGGC